UAGGGAAUCUUCGGCAAUGGGGGGCAACCCUGACCGAGCAACGCCGCGUGAGUGAAGAAGGUUUUCGGAUCGUAAAGCUCUGUUGUAAGAGAAGAACGUGUGUGAGAGUAACUGUUCAUUCGAUGACGGUAUCUAACCAGCAAGUCACGGCUAACUACGUGCCAG
rnacentral:rRNA from 1 species